UACAGAGACUGCAAGCGUUAUUCGGAUUCACUGGGCGUAAAGGGUGCGCAGGCGGCCAUGUGUGUGAGGCGUGAAAGCCCGGGGCUUAACCCCGGAAUUGCACCUCAAACUACAUGGCUAGAGCAUUGGAGAGGGUAGCAGAAUUCACGGUGUAGCAGUGAAAUGCGUAGAUAUCGUGAGGAAUACCAGAGGCGAAGGCGGCUACCUGGACAAUUGCUGACGCUCAGGCAACGAAAGCCGUGGGGAGCAAAAGGG
rnacentral:rRNA from 1 species